GCUUUUUUCUAUUCUAGAGGAGAGGUGCUUGGCUGUAGGAGAGGGAGACAUGCAUGCUUUCUCAGUCUCAACUGCAAGACGGCAAUCUCCUUUCUGCUUGGGGUUUUGCUUCCUUAAAGCUGUUUCUACCUCUACUCUAGAUGAGAGGAACUGGAACAUCUUGUCUGACCACAUAGUGAGACAGAAGAAUGUAUUUGGUGAGGACUGAAGAACUUUCAACCAAUUGUCAAAGCUGUUUCCUACUUG
rnacentral:lncRNA from 11 species